rnacentral:lncRNA from 1 species
UUAAAUAAAAAUGGGUGUUACACAACAUUUAUUCGGUAACUUAAGAGUUGAUCACAUUUCUUUUCAACCACAAUGAUUGCUUCAUUAUUUGGAAAUUUCGAAUUUGCAUUUAAUGGCAUUGAAUUCGCUAUCCCCUAAUCAUUGAAUGCCACGUGUGACGACCGAGUCACUUCCCUAGGAUAACAAGAGCCUCUUUCCAUGGCCGAAGGACGCGCGCAUCCGCCCGGAGUUCUGGCCCCCAUGAACUUAGACCAUUGUCAUUCUCCACUUUGAAUAGCUUCCCACAUAAAUCAUCAUUGUGCCCUACAAACCCACAAAAAUAGCAUAACACAAUCAGCCUCUCAUACUUGAAAUGGACUAUAGUUUCAUCUCUAGACCUUCCUUCUUGAUCUUCUUGGUACAUUUCAGAGGUUUGUUGACAUCGAUCAUAACUUUUAUCCUCAUGUAAGACAUCAACGGGCUUGAAUUGUGUUUGUCAUCAUAGUCUACAAAUUGGUCCAGGAAGUUACCAACAGCUAUCGUUGUCAAGCCAAGAGGGAUGUUAUGAACCUCAAUCCAAAUUGGUAUUUCUUGCAUAGGCACUUGACUUGGGACUUCACUUCCGUUGAUGUUUAUGAGAAAAAGUUG